GAUGAACGCUGGCGGCGUGCUUAACACAUGCAAGUCGAACGAUGAAGCCCACUUGUGGGCGGAUUAGUGGCGAACGGGUGAGUAACACGUGAGUAACCUGCCCUUGACUCUGGGAUAAGCCUGGGAAACUGGGUCUAAUACCGGAUAUGACUGACCGUCGCAUGGUGGUUGGUGGAAAGCUUUUGUGGUUUUGGAUGGACUCGCGGCCUAUCAGCUUGUUGGUGAGGUAAUGGCUUACCAAGGCGACGACGGGUAGCCGGCCUGAGAGGGUGACCGGCCACACUGGGACUGAGACACGGCCCAGACUCCUACGGGAGGCAGCAGUGGGGAAUAUUGCACAAUGGGCGCAAGCCUGAUGCAGCGACGCCGCGUGAGGGAUGACGGCCUUCGGGUUGUAAACCUCUUUCAGUAGGGAAGAAGCCGUAAGGUGACGGUACCUGCAGAAGAAGCGCCGGCUAACUACGUGCCAGCAGCCGCAGUAA
rnacentral:rRNA from 1 species